GGAUAUAGCUCAGUUUGGUUAGAGCGCUGGUUUGUGGCACCGGAGGCCGUGAGUUCAAGUCUCAUUAUC
rnacentral:tRNA from 1 species